GCACACUGGGGGAGAUUUAUCAAAACCUGUCUAGAGGAAGCAAUCUGAUUGGUUGCUAUGGGCAACUCAGCAACUCUUCCUCCGCAGAGGUUUGGAUAAAUCUCCCCCAUUUGUUAUUAGUGAUGUGAAAGGACCGGGCCGUACAGCAGGUGAAAGUGGAUGGCAAUGGUUGCUUAGUAACGAGCGUUGGGGCUGGUCAGGUGACUGGGGCAGAAAAUGGCAGUUAGGAGGAGGUGAGCAGAGAGCGGCAGCAAAGGAUGCUGGGACCUGUAGUUUAAAGACAGUGUGCGGGGAAGGGAACAAGUAAGAAAGGUGGAUCAGAGCCACGAACAGGAGACAAAAAGGUCACAGUAGAAUAAUAGAUACAAGGUUAAUGUCCUACAAUCAUCUGAGGGGUUUUUGUUUAUUUAUUUAUUCCAUUGGUUGGAUAACCACUUUAAUACCAGGACACAAUCGCGUACCUGUACACCCUUCAUCCUUAACAGGUUAAGGUGUUUAAAAGAAAAAAAACACAUCCUACAAUGUCCUGAAGUAUCUAAGCCCAGAGCAGAUACAGGUUACUGAUGAUCUCCUUAUCGGUGUGUGGCUUGGCCACUGCUGGUGAUGUCACACAUGUGAUGUCAUAGAACCUGUUGGGGCCUAUAGAAAGGGCUGCGGCCCUACACACAGUGUCAGUCUUUGCUGGCUUGGGCUUUGGGAGUGUUUAUCACUAUGGUUCUGCCAAUUGGGAAAAAGAGAAAGUAUGGUCAUGUGACUCCGAGCAUCCCGAAUAUGGGAGGGAGAAUGGCGCCGGCUUUACCAUCACAGCCGGCACCAGUGGCUUCAACAUCUCAGCCAGCCCCGGUGGCUUCAACAUCUCAGCCGGCCCCGGUGGCUUCAACAUCUCAGCCGGCUAUUCCAUCAAUGCCGGCUGCGGCUCCUACAUCUUACCCGGCUAUACCAUCUGCACCGGAGGACAUGGAGACUGAUGGAAGACAAUACCCAGAUGACGUCGACAUGUAUGAUGUGGAGCCGAAGAGGAGGCGGUUCUCCUACGACCCGGACGGGUCGUGCAUCAUGGAGGACGUCAGCUGCCCCAACUGGUUAUGGAAGUGGAGGAGAUAGGAGGCGAGAGGAGGAGAUAGGAGGAGAGAGGAGAAGACCAUAACCAACAUCAAUAACAUCUAAUAACAUCUAAUAACAUCAACAACAUCAACACCAUCUAUUGGGGACUCACUAGAGUUCCCCAAUAACAUCUAUAACAUCUGAGACUCCUAAAGACUCAUCCGAUGAGGAGACCUCGGUGUAGAAGAUACAACAUCUGAUACAGCCCCUUCAAGCCUCCCCGCAGAGAAGACAUCAUCGUGCUCUGACCUCACAACAUUUAAUAUGUUGAGAUAUUUAUAAUAAACAUAUAUAUAUGUAUAUAUUUUUACCG